rnacentral:rRNA from 1 species
AGAAAUAGGUGCUAAUACCGCAUGAGCGCACAGCUCCGCAUGGAGCAGUGUGAAAAACUCCGGUGGUAUACGAUGGAUCCGCGUCUGAUUAGCCAGUUGGCGGGGUAACGGCCCACCAAAGCGACGAUCAGUAGCCGGCCUGAGAGGGUGGACGGCCACAUUGGGACUGAGACACGGCCCAAACUCCUACGGGAGGCAGCAGUGGGGAAUAUUGCACAAUGGGGGAAACCCUGAUGCAGCGACGCCGCGUGAGUGAAGAAGUAUCUCGGUACGUAAAGCUCUAUCAGCAGGGAAGAAAAUGACGGUACCUGACUAAGAAGCCCCGGCUAACUACGUGCCAGCAGCCGCGGUAAUACGUAGGGGGCAAGCGUUAUCCGGAUUUACUGGGUGUAAAGGGAGCGUAGACGGCAGCACAAGUCUGGAGUGAAAUCCCGGGGCUUAACCCCGGAACUGCUUUGGAAACUGUGCGGCUGGAGUGCAGGAGGGGUAAGCGGAAUUCCUAGUGUAGCGGUGAAAUGCGUAGAUAUUAGGAGGAACACCGGUGGCGAAGGCGGCUUACUGGACUGUAACUGACGUUGAGGCUCGAAAGCGUGGGGAGCAAACAGGAUUAGAUACCCUGGUAGUCCACGCCGUAAACGAUGAUUACUAGGUGU